rfam:Branchiostoma floridae genomic scaffold BRAFLscaffold_245, whole genome shotgun sequence.
UUCCAUAUGUUCUAGUGGUUAGGAUUUGGCGCUCUGACCGCCAAAGCCCGGGUUCGAUUCCUGGUGUGGGAA